UGGGGAAUAUUGCACAAUGGGCGCAAGCCUGAUGCAGCCAUGCCGCGUGUAUGAAGAAGGCCUUCGGGUUGUAAAGUACUUUCAGCGGGGAGGAAGGGAGUAAAGUUAAUACCUUUGCCCAUUGACGUUACCCGCAGAAGAAGCACCGGCUAACUCCGUGCCAGCAGCCGCGGUAAUACGGAGGGUGCAAGCGUUAAUCGGAAUUACUGGGCGUAAAGCGCACGCAGGCGGUUGAUUGAGUCAGAUGUGAAAUCCCCGGGCUUAACCCGGGAAUUGCAUCUGAUACUGGUCAGCUAGAGUCUUGUAGAGGGGGGUAGAAUUCCAUGUGUAGCGGUGAAAUGCGUAGAGAUGUGGAGGAAUACCGGUGGCGAAGGCGGCCCCCGGGACAAAGACUGACGCUCAGGUGCGAAAGCGUGGGGAGCAAACAGG
rnacentral:rRNA from 1 species